UAAACUCCCUUUGUUGAGGAAGAUAAUGACGGUACUCAACAAGGAAGUGACGGCUAACUACGUGCCAGCAGCCGCGGUAAAACGUAGGUCACAAGCGUUGUCCGGAAUUACUGGGUGUAAAGGGAGCGCAGGCGGGAGAACAAGUUGGAAGUGAAAUCCAUGGGCUCAACCCAUGAACUGCUUUCAAAACUGUUUUUCUUGAGUAGUGCAGAGGUAGGCGGAAUUCCCGGUGUAGCGGUGGAAUGCGUAGAUAUCGGGAGGAACACCAGUGGCGAAGGCGGCCUACUGGGCACCAACUGACGCUGAGGCUCGAAAGUGUGGGUAGCAAACAGGAUUAGAUACCCUGGUAGUCCACACCGUAAACGAUGAUUACUAGGUGUUGGAGGAUUGACCCCUUCAGUGCCGCAGUUAACACAAUAAGUAAUCCACCUGGGGAGUACGACCGCAAGGUUGAAACUCAAAGGAAUUGACGGGGGCCCGCACAAGCAGUGGAGUAUGUGGUUUAAUUCGACGCAACGCGAAGAACCUUACCAAGUCUUGACAUCCCUUGACGAUGCUGGAAACAGCAUUUCUCUUCGGAGCAAGGAGACAGGUGGUGCAUGGUUGUCGUCAGCUCGUGUCGUGAGAUGUUGGGUUAAGUCCCGCAACGAGCGCAACCCUUAUGGUCAGUUACUACGCAAGAGGACUCUGGCCGGACUGC
rnacentral:rRNA from 1 species